GUUACAGUGAUUGAGAGAGUUUGGGUGUAUUGGGGUUUUUGGGAAGUGAGCUAAAAUACUACAAUACUUGUAACUCCUUUUCACUAGUAAAAUAUUUCCUUCUGUCUUCGCCCGUGGAUGUAGGCUAAAAGCCGAACCACGUAAUUUCUGGUGUCCUCUAUUGUGCUUGUUCUUUAUUUGGGUUGGACAUCCACAGGGGAUCCAUAUGCCAAUGUUGGUGAUGCAGGAUUGAGUUUUGACAGCGAAGAGGCUGCAAGAGAAUUUGCUGAGAGACAUGGUUGGGAAUAUGUGGUGAGGAAGCCCCACAGACCAUUGCUGAAUGUGAAGUCAUAUGCAGAACACUUUAAGUGGAAGGGUCCUCCCAAAACAGAUGGAAACUGUUUAUGUUGUCUCACCUGGAUUGUUACCAUAAAACAAGUCAUGGGACUGAGGGUUGAUUUCUUUUGCUGCACAUUCUCUGUAAAUGGCAGAAUGUAGCACUUUGUUGAAUUUGUUGAUUAUAAUAAAACGGGACAUGUGGAUUGUAACCCUUUGCUCCUUUUAUGAUUUCUACAGAGAAGACAUGGAGCAUUUGGUGUUCCCCUGAGAAAAAAAAUAAAUCAAUUAACAAUCAUAUGAACAAAACUCAGAAAAACAAAAUAAAUUAACAAUCAUAUGAGCAAAACCCAAAAAAACAAAAUAAAUUAACAAUCACAUGAACAAAAUAGAUGUAGCAAAAUUUACCCACAUAGAUGCAGCACCACCACCAUCACUAGGCGAAUCAGAGCAGAGACGUAGCAGCACCACCACUAGCCGAAUCAAAGCAGAGACGAAGAGGCAGCAGAAGCAGCCGUCGAUUCUCAAUUACAGCAGCAACAGAGCAGAGACGCAAUAGCAAUAGCACACGGAGCUGAGAUGCAGCAGCAACUUUCUCUCUCAACACAGCAGCAGUAGCAGCUUUCUCUCUCAACGCAAUAGGCGAUUUUGCUUGAAGAACUAUGACAGUCAAUUGUUGAUGAAAUACAAGAGUAUUCACGAAGAGAGACAG
rnacentral:lncRNA from 1 species